GCCUGAGUGGUCUAGUGGGUAAGGUGCGCGACUUUCACCCACAUGGUGCAGGUUCAAUCCCCACGCCGGUCA